UUGAUAGGGGGAAACUAAAGGGAAGACGGGUAUGAUGUUAUAGUGAGCAGGAUAAAGGAGAUGGGUCUGCCCCUUGAGCCAUAUGAGUGGUACCUUGACUUGCGGCGCUAUGGGACUGUAAAACAUUGUGGUUUUGGUUUAGGCUUUGAACGAAUGGUUCUCUUUGCGACCGGGAUUGACAAUAUUAGAGAUGUUAUUCCAUUCCCCAGAUAUCCUGGAAGAGCAGAUCUUUGAAUUAGUCCUCCAUAAUAUGGAUAUAUAUAUUCUGUCUCCAUUUUGCCAUUAUCCAAGUAUUAUACGGUUACAGCUGAUUAUUUAUUCCUAAGAACAUAGAACAAAAGAAUUGCUGUUUUGAAAUUGUUUUUUGCUUCAAGAAGCAGCUCUGCGCUUUAUUAUCUGAAAUUUCACUUUUAAUUAGCAUUGUAGUUGCUCGGCCAGGGUUUGCUGAGUUCCACAGUAUGCCCAGUGGCAAUUGUCUUCCCCCUU